ACCAAAAGAAGAAAGAGUUAUUUCUGGCCCUGGGCUGAAGGAAGUUCUUCUGUGUUAUUCCUGUCUAUGAAGUUUGGACAGAAGAGAUGGAGCCAGAACUUAGAGGCUGGGACAUGCCAGUCUGGGGAGUCCGAGUGCUGCUGCUCUUCC